rnacentral:rRNA from 1 species
UUGAGCGGAGAUAUAUGGAGCUUGCUUUAUAUAACUUAGCAGCGAACGGGUGAGUAACACGUAGAUAAUCUAUCCUAUACUGGGGGAUAGCCCGAUGAAAGUUGGAUUAAUACCGCAUAUAGCUAUAUAGUUGCAUGAUUAUGUAGUGAAAGAUUUAUUGGUAUAGGAGGAGUCUGCGGCACAUUAGCUAGUAGGUGAGGUAAAGGCUUACCUAGGCGACGAUGUGUAGCCGGUCUGAGAGGAUGAACGGCCACAAUGGAACUGAGACACGGUCCAUACUCCUACGGGAGGCAGCAGUGGGGAAUAUUGCACAAUGGGGGAAACCCUGAUGCAGCAACGCCGCGUGAGUGAAGAAGGUUUUCGGAUUGUAAAGCUCUGUUAGCAGGGAAGAGGAAGGACGGUACCUGCAGAGGAAGCCACGGCUAACUACGUGCCAGCAGCCGCGGUAAUACGUAGGUGGCAAGCGUUGUUCGGAAUAACUGGGCGUAAAGGAUGCGUAGGCGGUUAAACAAGUUAUAUGUUAAAUAUAUAGGCUUAACCUGUAGAAAGCAUAUAAAACUGUUUAACUAGAGUGCAGGAGAGGUAAGUGGAAUUCCUAGUGUAGCGGUGAAAUGCGUAGAGAUUAGGAAGAACACCAGUGGCGAAGGCGACUUACUGGACUGUAACUGACGCUGAGGCAUGAGAGCAUGGGGAGCAAACAGGAUUAGAUACCCUGGUAGUCCAUGCUGUAAACGAUGGGUACUAGGUGUGGGUUGUGAAUAACAA